rnacentral:rRNA from 1 species
AGAGUUUGAUCCUGGCUCAGGACGAACGCUGGCGGCGUGCUUAACACAUGCAAGUCGAACGGAAAGCGCUUUUCGGAGUGACUCGAGUGGCGAACGGGUGAGUAACACGUGGGUGAUCUGCCCUGCACUUUGGGAUAAGCCUGGGAAACUGGGUCUAAUACCGGAUAGGACUACGAAUCGCAUGGUUUGUGGUGGAAAGCUUUUGCGGUGUGGGAUGGGCCCGCGGCCUAUCAGCUUGUUGGUGGGGUGAUGGCCUACCAAGGCGACGACGGGUAGCCGGCCUGAGAGGGUGUCCGGCCACACUGGGACUGAGAUACGGCCCAGACUCCUACGGGAGGCAGCAGUGGGGAAUAUUGCACAAUGGGCGCAAGCCUGAUGCAGCGACGCCGCGUGAGGGAUGACGGCCUUCGGGUUGUAAACCUCUUUCAACAGGGACGAAGCGUAAGUGACGGUACCUGUAGAAGAAGCACCGGCCACUACUUGCCAGCAGCCGCGGUA